rnacentral:rRNA from 1 species
CAGUCGCCGCGGUAACACGGAGGGUGCAAGCGUUACUCGGAAUCACUGGGCGUAAAGGACGCGUAGGCGGAUUAUCAAGUCUCUUGUGAAAUCUAGCGGCUUAACCGUUAGACUGCUUGGGAACUGAUAAUCUAGAGUAAGGGAGAGGCAGAUGGAAUUCUUGGUGUAGGGGUAAAAUCCGUAGAGAUCAAGAAGAAUACCCAUUGCGAAAGCGAUCUGCUGGAACUUAACUGACGCUAAUGCGUGAAAGCGUGGGGAGCAAACAGGAUUAGAUACCCCAGUAGUCCCUGUCUCUUAUACA